rnacentral:rRNA from 1 species
UACGAAGGGGGGCUAGCGUUGUUCGGAAUUACUGGGCGUAAAGCGCGUGUAGGCGGGGUCUUUAAGUCAGGGGUGAAAUGCCAAGGCUCAACCUUGGAACUGCCUUUGAUACUGGAGACCUUGAGUCCGGGAGAGGUGAGUGGAAUUGCGAGUGUAGAGGUGAAAUUCGUAGAUAUUCGCAAGAACACCAGUGGCGAAGGCGGCUCACUGGCCCGGAACUGACGCUGAGACGCGAAAGCGUGGGAGCAAACAGGGGAUAGAU